rnacentral:lncRNA from 1 species
UGCCACCAUGUCUAGCUAAUUUUUAUUUUUGGUUUUGUUUUCUAGCGAUAGAGUUUAGCUGUGUUUCCCAAGCUGGCCUUGAACUCUUGAGCUCAAGCAAUCCACGCAUCUCGGUUUCCCAAAGUGUGAGCAUUACAGACAUGAGCUACCACAUCUGUCCUCUUAUUACAAUUUAGAGAAAUUAAAGCCUAGAUUUCAAUGGAGGUGACUCAAGACAAUCUACUGCAAGAUAGCUGCCAAUAUUCUCACAUUCUUGUAUAACUGUGAUAGUCAUUGAAAACUCUUCACAAAAUAUUUUUAUUCUCAUUCCAGGUGUGCUUCUGUUACUGGAAAGGGGUCCCAAUCCAGAAUCCAAGAGAGGGUUCCUGGAUCUCAUGCAAGAAAGAAUUUGGGGUGAGUCCAUAAAGUUAAAGCAAGUUUCUUAAGAAAGCGAAAGAAUAAAACAAUGG